rnacentral:rRNA from 1 species
CCUACGGGGGGCAGCAGUAGGGAAUUUUCCACAAUGGACGAAAGUCUGAUGGAGCAACGCCGCGUGAGUGAAGAAGGGUUUCGGCUCGUAAAGCUCUGUUGGUAGGGAAGAAAGAUAGAGGUAGUAACUGGCCCUUAUUUGACGGUAAUUACUUAGAAAGUCACGGCUAACUACGUGCCAGCAGCCGCGGUAAGACGUAGGUGGCAAGCGUUGUCCGGAUUUAUUGGGCGUAAAGGGAGUGCAGGCGGUCCAAUAAGUCUGAUGUGAAAGCCUUCGGCUCAACCGGGGAAUUGCAUCAGAUACUGUUGAACUUGAGUGCAGAAGAGGAGAGUGGAACUCAAUGGGUAGCGGUGGAAUGCGUAGAUAUAUGGAAGAACACCAGUGGCGAAGGCGGCUCUCUGGUCUGCAACUGACGCUGAGGCUCGAAAGCAUGGGUAGCGAACAGGAUUAGAUACACGGGUAGUC